AAAAAAAUAUGUUUUUUUGUGUUUUAAAAUAACUAUCUCAAAACAGAGAGAAGUUCAAAGUGAUAACAACCGAAAGUUCACGUACUACAUGGUGUGUAUUUCAUAUAAGAAAAUUACAAUAAAGUGAAACAAAGUGAAGUUCAAACAGACAUGCCCCAGAAGUUCAACUACUUCAAGCAGUGCAAAAAACAACACGUCAAAAACAGAGUGAAGUUCAAACAGACAUGCCCGAGAAGUUCAACUACUUCACGCAGUGCUUUUCCAUGCACGAUGAAGGCAGAAAUCAUGAUGUCGUCAUUUUCUAAUUUACUUCAAAUCGACAGGAAUAUCAUUUGUGUAAGUUCAGGUCCUCGGUCGGAGAAAGUUAAAAAAUAUUGUGAGAGACGUUUGUACAAAAGGAAUAUUAUUUGUGUAACACUAACGAAUGGAUGAGAAAAUUACAAACAAAAAUACGUCACAGAAGUUCAACGUGAAAAUAGCAGGAAGUUCAACUACUAUGCUGAAUCGUCGCGAGUAUGAAAAGAUGAUCAACACGGGAAACUUGAGUGCUUACAACAGCUUUCCAUCGGUAUAUCACCUGCUCAAUUCCGGUGAAUGGAUGGAGAGUUACGAGCAGUGGAUGGAGACCUACGAGCAAAAAAAAUCAUGUGAAAAACAGAGUGAAGUUCAGGUACACGCACCGAGAAGUUCAGGUUCUUCAUGCGGUGCAUUUUCGAAGAAUCUGUUUCGCGAUAAAGGCAGAAUGCAUGAUCCCGCCGUUUUUGAAAUUACUUGAAAACAGCUAGGAAUCAUAGAAAACCAUCAACAUGAAAAAGUUUCGCAUUUUCCAUAGCUUUUCAGCGGUAUAUUAUUUGCCCCAUUCCGAUAAAGUUUGUAGAAAUUACGGCGAAAAUAUGUUUUUCUCCAUUUUCAAAACUGACUUAAGACCGUAAAGAAUUGGGAGAAACAAUACAUACCAAAAAGUUUCACAUUUGUUCAAGCUUUCCAACGCCAUAUCAUUUGCUGCAUUCGGACGCACGGUUAAAAAAUUAGCUCGAAAAUACGAACUCGGUAGGACUUGGACCAUUUUUUAAAUUACUCUUAAACAAUUCAAAAUUAGAAAAAAACUUUUAAGAUGAAAAGGUAGCGCAUUUUCAUAAGCUUUCCAACGCCGUAUCAUAUGCCUCCAUUGGAUUAGCCGUUUAGAAAUGACAUCGAAAAACAAACUCAGCUGUUCGGUAUACGUAAUUUUACGUUUUUUCAAAUUACUCUUUAACCAUAGGGAAUUAGAGAAAACUUACAACAUGUGGAAGAAGAGGUUUUGCAGCAGCUUUCCAACGCCAUAUUAUAUGCCUCAUUCCGACAAACGGUUUAGAAAUGCGAUCGAAAAUACGAUUCACGUUUUUUGUGUAAAGAAAAAACGGUUUUCAAAACUGCUCUUAAACCGCUUAUAUUUUGCCAAAAGUUUAAGUUGGGUCAUGAUAUUGGGGUCCAUAGCUUUCCAACGGUAUAUGGCAAGCCCCAUUUGGGCAAUGUUGGCAGAAGUUCAACCUAGUUCACAGGGAAGUUCAACGUAGUACUAGCGGAGCAGGUCAGAUUGUGAUCAGAAUAUGGACAAGGCAUUAAUUUCCAUUGUUCUCCUCGAGCUGCCUCUUGGCAAGACCGAGCUCUUUCUCGGACCGCUCGAGGUUCUGCCUCAGUGCAGCGACCUCCGCAGUCAGUGCGGCAGAGGUCAGCAGCGAAGCCUGCAUACGCAUACAGACAUACUUAUAUUAGACUCCUACAGAUAUUAUUUGAUCCUCUAUUCGGCUUUUCUUUGUGAACACCAAACAGAGCAUCAGGGGCUACUGUCUAUGCGGUAAUAUUUUCCUAUAUUUUAAAUACUUACCUCAAAGCCUGUUAGAAGGUUGGCACAUGCUUCAGUCAGUCCGCUCUUGGCGGACUGAACCUUCUUGAUCAUCACACUCAUAAUAGUGCGGUGCUCUUCAUUGAUGGACGCGCCGUGAAGCGCUCCCAGCAGGUUGUUCGGUGCCUCUGGUUGGACAGAGGUCACUGGCAUGGGCGGCUUACCCCUCUUGGAAGGGGGCCGCCUAUUGGAGUCCGGAACCACUGGAGGUUCCGGCGCGGCGUUCGGCUGGGGGCCGAACUUGGUGCCCUUGGGAGUCUUGCUCCCUUCGCGUCUGGAGUCCGAAAGGUCGCCUUGAGGCGCCUCUGGGACUGUCUCCCCCUGGCUCGGUGCCCCUUGAGACAGUACCUCGACAUCGUCCGUAGGGCGAGGAGAGGAGGCGGUUGGAAGUGUAUCACUAUCCAUAUCGGAUGAGUCCAAGGAACCGUCCGACGAGGAUACAUCGAUACGGGCUCGGGGCGGACUGCAUGAUCAUAUUCGAUGUUAGGAAAAGCAGUGCAAUAAAAGUAUGCUAUGAGUUACUCUGGUAUCCGAAUACUUACGACUUUGCCAGGGGCUUGGCCCUGAGUAACCACUCGUCUUCGCCGUUGGCGGCGGUGGUGGAACUAUCCGGAAGGAGAGUCCUUCCCUUCUUGGCCCCUUCGGCCUCCCCGGUUGGGGCGGCCUUCCUUUUCUUGUCUCUCCCGACUGGAGGGGGAGAGUCUUCAUCUUCCUCCUCCUUGUUUUCAUGGGAGGAGUGUGUCUUGGAGUUAUCGGACGAUGAGUCCGAUACCACCUAGCGCCGGGAACUCUUACGGGUUCCCUUGGCCAUCUUCUUGGUCUUCUCCGGCACCUCAUAAGGAGCCGGAGUCCGCACCUCCGUCAGGAGAGCGUCUGCAGGGUCUUCGGGCAGAGGGGCCGGACAGUUAUUCUGCUCUAAUGCCUCCACCCAGUCCUGUCAAAGGAACGGGAGCUCAGACCCCGCACACGGUUAACCUAUGGGAAAUAAAUACCCUACCAGAUGUACAGAACUUACCAGAUUCGCAGGGCGCUUCGCGCUUAGCCCGCGGUCCUUGGUAAGAGAAGGAGGGACCUCAGCGCCCUUGAACAUCACCUUCCACGCGUCCUUAUGCGUCGUGUCGAAGAGUCUGGUGCUGGGCCGGGUCGAACUCCCAUAAGUUGAAAGCCCGUUGUUGAUACAGGAGGAUCCGGCGGAAGAGCAUGACCUGGAAUAUGUUGACAAGCUUAAGUUUCUUGCUUAUCAUGUUCCGGAUAAACUUCUGGAGUCCGGCCAGCUCCACCGAUGAACCCUAGGACAGGCCCUUCUCCUUCCAGGAAGUGAGCCGCGUGGGAUUCCAGAUCAAAACUCGGGGGCCGCCACCUAGUUGGUGUUGCGUGGCUCGGUGAUGUAGAACCACCCCGAUUGCCACCCCUUUAUGGUCUCCACGAAGGAGCCCUCGAGCCACAUAAUGUUGGGCAUUUUGCGCACCAUGGAUCCGCCGCAUUCCGCUUGUUGGCCGCCUACUACCUUCGGCUUGAUAUUGAAGGUCUUCAGCCACAGGCCGAAGUGGGGCCGGAUGCGGAGGAAUGCCUCGCACACGACGAUGAACGCCGAGAUGUUGAGGAUGAAAUUUGGGGCCAAAUCAUGAAAGUCCAGCCCGUAAUAGAAUAUAAGGCCGCGGACGAAUGGAUGGAGGGGAAACCCCAGUCCACCAAAGAAGUGGGGGAGAAAAACCACCCUUUCGUGAGGUUCCGGGGUAGGGACGAUCUACCCCGCGGCUAGCAGUCGGUGCGCGAUAUUCACGGCUAAGUAUCCGGCCCCACGUAGUUUUUUGAUGUGUCCCUCCGUGACGGAGGAGACCAUCCACUUGCCUCCUGCUCCGGACAUGUUUGGAGAGAGUUGAGGAGAAGGAUGUGGACUUGGGCGCUGGAGCUCGAGUGCGUGAGAAUGGAUGAGCAAGGAGGAAGAAGGCGUGGGUAGAAAAAGGUGAAACCUUAUCCCUUUAUAAGGGCGAAUGAAACUAUGCGCCCCCACCAGCCUGGUAAAACUCGCUUGUCCCCCAAGCGCCGUAAUUGAUGGCGCGGUUGGGUUACCCACGUCCGUAUUGAUGGGAAUCCCAUAAUAAGGGGGCACGAUCUUUGCUUCGACAAGACGUGCCAAGGAAACCGCCUCGCGAAAAACGCUGAGAUAGGUUAUGAAAAACGAUUCGAAUAAAGACCUGGCUGUGGUGUGAUGUCACACUACGGGGUACGUCAGUAGAUUAGAUUUGUGUAAAUAUUAUUCUCUCUACGGUGGUAUGUGGUACUUAUUUUGCAGGGUCGGACACUAUCCUUUUAUUCAAACUCUUUCGUGGUGUAUUCGGAGGAGGAACCCGCCUUGCAAUGCUGAAGAAAACACUGCACGCCGGACUCAUCGUCAUUGAAGCCUAGUUCAGGGGCUACUGAGGGAGUCCUCGAUUAGAGGGUCUCCGGACAGCCGGACUAUAUCCUUUGGCCGAACAGUUGGACUAUGAAGAUACAAGAUUGAAGACUUCGCCCCGUGUCCGGAUGGGACUCUAGUUGGCGUGGAAGGCAAGCCAGGCAAUACGGAUAUGGAUAUCUCCUCCUUUGUAACCGACCUUGUGUAACCCUAGCCUCCUCUGGUGUCUAUAUAAAUCGGAGGGUUUAGUCCGUAGGACCACAGACAAUCAUACCAUAGGCUAGCUUCUAGGGUUUAGCCUCUCCGAUCUCGUGGUAGAUCAACUCUUGUACUACUCAUAUCAUCAAGAAUAAUCAAGCAGGACGUAGGGUUUGACCUCCAUGAAGUGGGCCCGAACCUGGGUAAAACAUCGUGUCCCCUGCCCCCUGUUACCAUCCGCCUUAGACGCAUAGUUCUGGACCCCCUACCCGAGAUCCGCCGGUUUUGACACCGACACUCUCUCUCUCUCUCUCUUGAUUCUAAAUACAAAGAUCACAUGAGCUGCCCUACAUGAUUGUGAUCCAUCUGACGUAAUUUGGUGGUAUGUUCGAUGUUAUAUGACGAAUUGUCACCUUUAUGAUCAGAUUUAUUCAUGAAUUCUCCUGAGAUAUAUUUCAUUCUUUUGCUGCAUAAUUAUUAUUUAUAUAUGCUCUUCAAUAUAUUAUAUCUUUUUUGGCCAAUUUUGCGGUUUGACCAUCAGAGGAGUUGUGUAUGAUAGUUGGGUUAAUCGUAUAAGUGAGCCAACAUAGAGGCAGAAAGUGGAAAAGGCUUGUAUCUAUUUUGUUGCCGCUAGGGAUAAAAAGUUGGUUGUGUACUUUUCCUUCGACCGUGGCGUGAAGACAAUAUACCAUCUCAUUCAUGUCAUCAUAAUAAUUGCAAUACUCUAUUUUUUUAACUUUAUACUUUCAUAUGUGUGUUGAAUAGCGGUCUUGGCUGGAGUAUUAAAUACAGAUGUCAUAAUACUCCCUCCAUUCCUAAAUAUAAGUCUUUGUAGAUAUUUCAAUAUAGACUGCAUAUGAAGAAAAAUGAGUGAAUCUACACUCUAGACUAUGUCUACAUACAUUUGUAUGUAGUCCAUAUUGAAAUCUCUAGGAAAAUUUAUAUUUAGAAACAGAGGGAGUAUUAUAGAUGCAUGUGCAUAUGUUAACUAUGCCAUGAAUAGGCAUAGUAAAAAAUAUUGCAAUUUAAGCAUUGCCCAACUAUGAUUUGUUACCACACCAUGUUUUCUUUUGGAGACAGAUCUCUAGUGAACCUAUGGACCCUGUGUUGGGAACGUAGCAUCCAAUUUAAAAAAAUUCCUACGAUCACGAAAGAUCUAUCUAGGAGAUGCAUAUCAACGAGAAGGGGAGAGUGUGUCCAUGUACCCUCGUAGACCGAAAGCGUAAGCUUUAGGUUAACGCGGUUGAUGUAGUCCAACGUCUUCACGAUCCAACCGAUCGAAGUACCGAACGUACGAGACCUCCGUGUUCAGCACACGUUCAGCUCGAUGACGUCCCUCGAACUCUUGAUCCAAUAGAGAGUUGAGGGAGAGUUCCUUAGCAUGACGGCGUGGUGACAGUGAUGCUGAUGUGAUCCGCGCAAGGCUUCGCCUAAGCACUAUGACAAUAUAAUUGAAGGAGUAAACUGUGGAGGGGGGCACCGCACACGGCUAAGAGAUUUCUUGGUGUGCCUUUGGGGUGCCUCCCGCCCCAUAUAUAAAGGAGGGAUAGGAGCUGGUCGGCCAGGGGUGGCACGCCAUGAUGGGGGAGUCCUACUAGGACUCCGUUCCUAGUAGGAUUCGCCCCCCCCCCCAUUCCUUCCAACGGAUAGGGGGAAAGGGGAAAAGAGGGCUAAGGAGAAGGAAAGGGGGGCCAUGCCCCCUCACAUUACCCAAUUCACAUUGGGCAAGGGGUGCACGCGCCACCUCCCGUGGCAUGCCUCCUCUCCUCCAUUAUGGCCCAUUAUGCCCAUUAACUUUCCCGGGGGGUUCCGGUAACUUCCCGGUACUCUGAAAAAUCCCCAAACAUCUUCAGAACCAUUCCGGUGUCCGGAUAUAACCUUAAAAUAUAUGUAUCUUUACCUCUCGACCAUUUUGAGACUCCUUGUCAUGUCCGUGAUCUCAUCCGGGACUCCGAACAAACUUCAGUCACCAAAACACAUAACUCAUAAAACAAAUCAACAUCGAACAUUAAGCAUGCUGACCCGGGGUUCGAGAACUAUGUAGACAUGACCGAGACACAUCUCCGGUCAAUAACCAAUAGCGGAACCUGGAUGCUCAUAUUGGUUCCUACAUAUUCUACGAAGAUCUUUAUCGGUCAAACCGCAUAACAACAUAUGUCAUCCCCUUUGUCAUCGGUGUGUUAUUUGCCGGAGAUUCGAUCAUCGGUAUCCUCAUACCUAGUUCAAUCUCGUUACCAGCAAGUCUCUUUUACUCGUUCCGUAAUGCAUCAUCCCGCAACUAACUCAUUAGUCACAUUGCUUGCAAGGCUUAUAGUGAUGUGCAUUAUCGAGAGGGCCCAGAGAUACCUCUCCUAUACACGGAGUGACAAAUCCUAAUCUUGAUCUAUGCCAACUAAACAAACACCUUCGGAGACACCUGUAGAACAUCUUUAUAAUCACCCUGUUAUGUUGUGAUGUUUGAUAGCACACAAGGUGUUCCUCGGGUAUUUGGGAGUUGCAUAAUCUGAUAGUCAGAGGAAUAUGUAUAAGUCAUGAAGAAAGAAAUAGCAAUAAAACUAAACGAUCAUUAUGCUAAGCUAACGGAUGGGUCUUGUCCAUCACAUCAUUCUCUGAUGAUGUGACCCUGUUCCUCAAAUGACAACACAUAUCUAUGGUCAGGAAACUUAACCAUCUUCGAUUAAUGAGCUAGUCAAGUAGAGGCAUACUAGGGAUACUCUGUUUGUCUAUGUAUUCACACAUGUACUAAGUUUCCGCUUAAUACAAUUCUAGCAUGAAUAAUAAACAUUUAUCAUGAUAUAAGGAAAUAUAAAUAACAACUUUAUUAUUGCCUCUAGGGCAUAUUUCCUUUAGUCUCCCAAUUGCACUAGAGUCAAUAAUCUAGAUUACAUUGUAAUGAUUCUAACACCCAUGGAGUCUUGGUGCUGAUCAUGUUUUGCUCGUGAGAGAGGACUGUUAAACGGGUCUGCAACAUUCAGAUCCUUAUGUAUCUUGCAAAUAUCUACGCUACUUUGCUGCAUCAGCCUUUCCUCUUCAAGGGAAAACCAACGCAGUGCUCAAGAGGUAGCACAAGUCAAUUGCUCUAGUAUUGUCACAAAAGAUUUUCAUUGGACCCGACGCACUAGGUAUUACACCUAGAUCGAAUAUGAACUCCUUCAUCCAGACUCCUUCAUUUGCUUCUUCCGAAGCAGCUAUGUACCCCGCUUCACACGUAGAUCCCCCCACGACGCUCUUCUUGGAACUGCACCAACUUACAGCUCCACCAUUCAAUAUAAAUAUGCAUCCGGUUUGUGACUUAGAGUCAUCUGGACCAGUGUCCAAGCUUGCAUCGACAUAACCAUUUAUGACAAGCUCUUUGUCACCUCCAUAAAUGAGAAACAUAUCCUUAGUCCUUUUCAGGUAUUUCAGGAUGUUCUUAACCGCUAUCCAGUGAUCCACUCCUGGAUUACUUUGGUACCUCCCUGCUAAACUUAUAGCAAGGCACACAUCAGGUUUAGUACACAGCAUUGCAUACAUGAUAGAAUCUAUAGCUGAGGCAUAGGGACUGACUUUCAUUUUCUCUCUAUCUUCUGCAGUGGUUGGGCAUUGAGUCUGACUCAACAUCACACCUUGUAACACACACAAGAACCCUUUCUUUGACUGAUCCAUUUUGAACUUCUUCAAAAAUUUAUCAAGGUGUGUGCUUUGCGAAAGUCCAAUUAAGCGUGUUGAUCUAUCUCUAUAGAUCUUGAUGCCCAAUGUGUAAGCAGCUUCACCGAGGUCUUUCAUUGAAAAAUUCUUACUCAAGUAUCCUUUUAUGCUAUCUAGAAAUUUUGUAUUAUUUCCAAUCAACAAUAUGUCAUCCACAUAUAAUAUUAGAAAUGCUAUAGAGCUCCCACUCACUUUCUUGUAAAUACAUGCUUCUCCAAAAUUUUGUAUAAAACCAUAAGCUUUGAUCACACUAUAAAAGUGUAUAUUCCAACUCCGAGAGGCUUGCACUAGUCCAUAAAUGGAUCGGUGGAGCUUGCACACUUUGUUAGCACCUUUAGGAUUGAAAAAGCCUUCUGGUUGCAUCAGGUACAACUCUUCUUUAAGAUAUCCAUUAAGGAAUGCAGUUUUGACAACCAUUUGCCAAAUUUCAUAAUCAUAAAAUGCGGCAAUUGCUAACAUGAUUCGGAUAGACUUAAGCAUCGCUACGGGUGAGAAGGCCUCAUCGUAGUCAACCCCUUGAACUUGUCAAAAACCUUUCAGAACAAGUCGAGCUUUAUAGAGAGUAACAUUACCGUCAGCGUCAAUAUUCUUCUUGAAGAUCCAUUUAUUUUCUAUGGCUUGCCGAUCAUCAGGCAAGUCAACCAAAGUCCACACUUUGUUCUCAUACAUGGAUCCCAUCUCAGAUUUUAUGGCCUCAAGCCAUUUUGCGGAAUCUGGGAUCAUCAUCGCUUCCUCAUAGUUUGUAGGUUCGUCAUGGUCUAGUAACAUGACUUCUAAUACAGGAUUACCAUACCACUCUGGUGCGGAUCGUACUCUGGUUGACCUACGAGGUUCGGUAGUAACUUGAUCUGAAGUUUCAUAAUCUUCAUCAUUAGCUUCCUCACUAAUUGGUCUAGGAAUCACUGGAACUGAUUUCUGUGAUGAACUACUUUCCAAUUCCGAAGAAGGUACAAUUACCUCAUCAAGUUCUACUUUCCUCUCAGUCACUUCUUUCGAGAGAAACUCCUUAUCUAGAAAGGAUCCAUUCUUAGCAACAAAUAUCUUGCCUUCGGAUCUGUGAUAGAAGGUGUACCCAACAGUUUACUUUGGGUAUCCUAUGAAGACACAUUUUUCGAUUUGGGUUCGAGCAUAUCAGGUAGAAGCUUUUUCACAUAAUCAUCGCAGCCCCAAACUUUAAGAAAUGACAACUUAGGUUUCUUGCCAAACCACAGUUCAUAUGGUGUCGUCUCAACGGAUUUAGAUGGUGCCCUAUUUAACGUGAAUUUAGCCGUCUCUAAAGCAUAACCCCAAAACAAUAGUGGUAAUCGGUAAGAGGCAUCAUAGAUCACACCAUAUAUAAUAAAGUAUGGUUACGACGUUCAGACACACCAUUAGGCUGUGGUGUUUCAGAUGGCGUGAGUUGCGAACCUAUUCCACAUUGUUUCGAAUGAAGACCAAACUCGUAACUUAAAUAUUCUCCUCCAUGAUCAGAUCGUAGAAACUUUAUUUUCUUGUUAUGAUGAUUUUCCACUUCACUCUGAAAUUAUUUGAACCUUUCAAAUGUUUCAGACUUAUGUUUCAUUAAGUUGAUAUACCCAUAUCUUCUCAAAUCAUCUGGGAAGGUCAGAAAAUAACGAUACCCACUGCGAGCCUCAACACUCAUCGGACCGCAUACAUCAGUAUGUAUUAUUUCCAGUAAGUCAGUGGAUCUCUCAAUUGUUCCGGAGAACGGAGUUUUAGUCAUCUUGCCCAUGAGGCAUGGUUAGCAAGCAUCAAGAGAUUCCUAAUCAAGUGAUUCCAAAAAUGCAUUAGCAUGGAGUUUCUUCAUGCGCUUUACACCAAUAUGACCUAAACGGUAGUGCCACAUAUAAGUUGCACUAUCAUUAUUAACAUUCCAUCUUUUGGCUUCAAUAUUAUGAAUAUGUGUAUCACUACAAUCGAGAUUCAACAAAAUAGACCACUCAUCAAGUGUGCAUGACCAUAAAAGAUAUUACCUAUAUAAAUAGAACAACCAUUAUUCUCUGAUUUAAAUUAAUAAAUGUCUCGCAUCAAACAAGAUCCAGAUAUAAUGUUCAUGCUCAACGCUGGCACCAAAUAACAAUUAUUCAGGUCUAAAACUAAUCCCGAUGGUAGAUGUAGAGGUAGCAUGCCGACGGCGAUCACAUCGACUUUGAAGCCAUUUCCCACCCGCAUCGUCACCUCGUCCUUAGCUAAUCUUAGUUUAAUCCAUAGCCCCUGUUUCGAGUUGCAAAUAUGAGCAACAGAACCAGUAUCAAAUACCCAUGCGCUACUACGAGCAUUAGUAAGGUACACAUCAAUAACAUGUAUAUCAAAUAUACCUUUCACUUUGGCAGUUCCAAUUCCAGUGACCAGUCCCUUUGCAGUAGAAGCACUCAGUUUCAGGCUUAGGUCCAUACUUGGGCUUCUUCCCGAGAAUAGCAACUUGCUUGCUAUUCUUCUUGAAGUUCCCCUUCUUCCCUUUUUCAUUUUUCUUGAAACUAGUGGUCUUGUGAACCAUCAACACUUGAUGCCCCUUCUUGAUUUCUUCCUCCGCAGCCUUUAGCAUCGCGAAGAGCUCAGGAAUUGUCUUUUCCAUCCCUUGCAUAUUAUAGUUCAUCAAGAAGCCUUUAUAGCUUGGUGGCAGUGGUUGAAGAACUCUGUCAAUGACACUAUCAUCGGGAAGAUUAACUCCCAGCUAAGCCAAUUGGUUAUGGUACCCAGACAUUCUGAGUAUGUGUUCACUGACAGAACUGUUCUCCUCCAUCUUGCAGCUAUAGAACUUGUUGGAGACUUCAUAUCUCUCAAGUCGGGCAUUUGCUUGAAAUAUUAACUUCAACUCCUGGACAAUCUCAUAUGCUCCAUGACGUUCAAAACAUCUUUGAAGUCCCGAUUCUAAGCCCUAAAGAAUGGCACACUGAACUAUCAAGUAGUCAUCAGCUUUGCUCUACCAGAAGUUCACAACGUCCGGAGUAGACAAAUUGGUCGGGGAAGAUGAUGGCGAAGCUGGCAAUGGGCUGGUGCUGGACGUACACAAAGGGGGUGGACGGCGACACACUCGGGUGAGCGAGCGGCAGCGGCACCGAAGAAGAGCAGCAACGCCGAAGAAAAGCAGCGGCGGUGGUUGGGCUAGUAGAGCGGCAGUGAUGCUUGAUGUGGGCGAAGAAGAACCCGAUAGCGUGACGAAGACUGGUGCGGACAGUAUUGUUCCUGCGCCAAAGGAGGCGGCGCGGUGCAUACCACGAAAAGUCAACGCGGGGGGAUGACAGAGUGGACCACAGGCCACGGCGCUAUGACCCGAGCAACGACGCUGCGACAUCAGGCAGGUCAGGGUGACGGCGGGAACACCUCAAGGCGGUGGCGAUGACCGCAGGCCGCGGCGCUACGACCUGAAGGGGUGGCGCAAUGGCGAGGCAUGGGUCGGUGCAACCGCGGGGACGGCCUCGGGCAGGCGGCAAAGACCGCGUGCCACGCUCGCUAUGGCCAGAUGGGGCAUUGUAGAGGCAGCACGAGGGUCGGUGCAGCCACGGGGACUACUUGGAUAGGACGGCCUCGGGACGACAGUAGACCGCGGGCCGCGACUUGACGUCACGAAUGGGUGACGUAGCGGUAGGAUUCCGGUCGGUGCAGCGGCGGGGAGAACAACAAGGCGGCGGUGCUGCGGCCCGACGGGGCGACGCUGUGGCAACCCGAUGCUUGAUCGAUGGAGGAGUGCGCUGUACUCGGGGACAGUCUUCAUGCGAUCUUCGGAGGUGCGCGCAACCGAUGAGCCAAGUGGGUCGAACGGCGUAGAUGAAGCGCAUCGCGGCACAGGCGGGUGAACAAUCCGAUCGCGCUCGAGGCCGGGGACGCCGCUCGAUGGAGGCGGGGUGGCGGCGGAGUCCAAGAUGAAGCCGGCGAGUCUGACGUAGCCGGCCCAGGGUAGUUGGCAAGGGCGAAACAGCCGGCGACGGGGCCGCGACCAGUGCGCCCGUGGUAAUUGGCGACGGGGCCACAACCGGUGAUGGGGCAGCACGGACACGGCGGAGGCGAUGGAUGAUGAAGAAGUCCCGGUAGGAGUAGGAUGGCGGCGGCCAGUGUAGGGCGUCCGGCGACGAGCGAGCCGAUGCGCGGACGGGGGCAGGCCGUGACGGGCUGCCUUGACGCGCUUGGCCGUCGGGUCGGAGAAGAGGCCGGUCGGUCGCGUCGGUGUCGAAGUAGAGGUGCGGGCAGGGGGGCGGGGGGGAGGGGGGGUCGACGGCGGCAGCGGGCGACGCAAACCAAUCUUAGAUUGGAAAACCAAAAGAAAACGCCGAUCAAAACGACCGGUGAGAGAGAGAAAACCCGGAUGAAAGGAUCUGUAAAAAAGUGUCUCUAGGGCAGCCGGUCAACACGACAGGCGGACGAACCCUAGGUACAGAUGGUGCGGCCCCCGGCGGCGGUCAUGACAGCCGACCGUCCCGGGGGCGACACGCAGGGCGGAAGCGGUGGGGGCGGCUAGGGUUUGGAUCGGUUAGGUUGAUACCAUGUUAGAAGGGGGAGAAGGGGUUGGCGGAAUAUGAUGGAUGUAUUAUUGAGCCUCGAGGGUGAGUACAUAUUGAGUACAAGACUUGAAGGGCAAGACGCCUCUCCUAUAGAUAAGGUAGGAGACGAAAUACAAAUCCUAGACUACCAAAUACAUGCAUCCCAAAUAUAUCUCAAAAAAUAUCAUCUGAAUUACAACGGAGAGGCUCUUGCUUCUUACUUCGUUUGACCAGGCAAAGAGAGAGUGUACGUUCAUCGUCUCAGCGGUCAGAUCCCUACCCUACCUACUAGCAUGGUAACGUGAAAAUGUAGUGCCCUAAACUCUUAUACUUGUGCAUGUGUUACAUCUCUUGAUUACAAACAAGAGAGAGAAAGAAAGAUAUAUCGUUUGCAAAGAAGAGAAAGAAAUAUAUAUCCUACAUGAGAUAGAUGUCUGUUGUUUAGUGCCUUUUCUGUUUUCAUUCCCCUCCACGAACCUUUCUAUUUUUGUUUUCAUUCCAUUAUCAAAUGUCAACAUAUCUGUUUGUGGCCUGGUCUUGGUUUUGUUUUUGUUGUUUUCUCCCGAUGCUGGAGCUAUAGAUGAUAUCAUCUGUGUAUUACAAAAGAGGGUCUUGGAGAUGAUAUCUCAAAUUAAUACCCGGCCUCAUCUCAAUUCUCACCAAAUUGUUUUGGUGCAUUGAAACAGUAUGAUCAAUAUAUCAAAUCGUUCAUACAUUUUCAUUCGGGUGUGUCUGAAGCAUGGGUCCUAAGGCCCUUCUCAUAGAUAGGGUAACAUGCUUUUUAGUUUGAAGGUUCUCUCGGAAAAGAGAUGCAUCGUAUGGUAACAUAAAUAAUUAAACUAACUACAAUUGACAUAGCAUAAUAGAACAUCAUUUAGGAUGUCAAAAUAGAACACCAACUUAAAAUCUAAAGAAAAUAGAUUACCCAGCAUGACCAUGCUUCCAACUAGAAUACACUGGUACACACAAUUUCAUGAUACAAUGUGCAAGAACAGACAAAUGAUUAGUGUACAAGUCGCCAACGCACAUGCAGAAAACAUCGCGUGCAUAGGUUGGGCUACUAAUAGACAGAACUAUUCUUCUCCACCCAUGAAAUCAUCCUCGAUAGUGAAAUCCUACAGUGAGAAAGAAAACUUUGAUUUAAAUACACAUGUCCAACUCAACAAUUCAUAUCCAAUGCCUAGAUAAACGCCAACGAGAAAAGUACUUACUGCAUCCAGCGGGUUGAGAAAAAAAUCAUCCCAUGAGAAGUCAUUGAUGUCAUUAAAUUGAUCAUUAAGUGCAUGCUGACCAAUGGUACCCACUUGCAUAGGGUGAUUGCUAACUGCAUCCCCGCCAUCAACCUUGUCAGUCAUUGCGUCGACAUUUUCUGUCUGAUGGUUGGGAAGUGUAGAAAUAGUUCUUCCACUAUUAACCAUAUCUGUAUGUGUCAUUGAGAUUCUACCAUUACCAGGUGCGGUGUUUUCAUUCAACAUCAUUCCGACUGAGCUUGUGUUUUUUGCUAUGUUGAAUGGUGCCAUCCGCUCACUCAAGCG
rnacentral:lncRNA from 1 species